rnacentral:rRNA from 1 species
UUACACAGAGAAACCAUCUUGAAAAACCAAAACAAAAGAAAGAAAAAAAAAGUCUGAUCUCGGAAGUUAAAGAGUUGAACCUGCUUAGUACUUGGAUGAAAGACUACCUGGGAAUACCAGGUUCUGUAGGCU